AAUCUUGCGAGGAAUAUUAAGAUUUGAAAAUAAACAACCAAUGGCUAAAAUCAACUGGAAAUAAACACUUUAUAUAUUCUCUGAUAUGAUAUUUAUGCCCAAAUUUUCGUUAAAGAGUAGAAAACAGGAAAACAGGCAAAAGAACGGAGGAAGCUUGAUACGUGCAGAUUAGACAACCAAAUCUAUAUCAUAUAAUGGCAAUCUAGUAGUGUUAUCGGCAAUCUAGGAGUCGUGUUCAAAUAUUUUCUGUUGGAUCAGAUGGAAACAUUUCUGUUUCAGGAGCAAGAUUCCUUUUCUUGGUUUGUGUGAUCUCACCGUAGAAGUAAGAAACAAAGCCCCAAAGAGAAAGUGCAAGAGCAACACCUUUUUCAGCCUGAAAUUUCUCUUGGUAAAAAAUGACAGCCAAGGCCUCCGUCACGGGAAGGAGAACAGCAAUUAUAAUGCCUGAUAAUAAAGAGGAAGCACAAAAGAUGACUCCUAUGACUCCCAAGAAGAAACACUGCCAGAUGAUUGCACUCCACACUAAUAUCACAUAAUACCUUGUUUCUCCAAGCCCGAAUUCUCUUGCUUCCCUUGGAAUCACCUUGAAGUCUUUGUUAACCAGCAUCCCAACGGUGCAAAAGACAGUAGCAAACAGACACAUCACCAGCUGAAUCUCCAUCACAAGGGUAUAGCUAAUUUCCUGCUUCGACUUCUUGUAUGUCCACUCUACCGAUGGCAAGAUAAAUCCAUACAAAAGUGCAGCUCCUAACGUCAUAACAAACCCUAAAAUAUACUCUCUGUUGGAUUCAUGUUCCGGCCGAUCACUGCUCGUAUGCAAGGCCAAGACACCAGCCCCAACACUCAACAAAAUCACCGCGUUUAUUGAAAAAAAAUUAAAUUUUUGUUUAACCAAAAGAAACGCAAAACCUGCAGUGAACGCCAACUGGGAAGCAAUGAUCAAAGAAGAUGUUGAAACUGGAAGACGGGCUACUCCAUAAGCGUAAAGAUAGUCAUCCAAGCCGGUAAGUACACCGAUGACGGUGGCGGCGAUGAACAGAAAACGAUUCAUGUAGAAGAGUUUAGCGGUUGGUUCGUUGGAUCGGCGGCGAUAUAGGUAGCUUAUGAAAAGGGGGAUAAAAAUAAGUGGCCAACCGCCCGUUUCAAGCCAGCUAGAGAGCCAAACACGCUUGCCUCCAUGGAUGAAGUAAAGGCGCAUUAUGAGAGGGCCACCGCAGUUGCCUAUAGUUAAAAGGAUGCAGUUUAGAACUAGUAGGGCUCUUCUCAUGGUGGUGUGAUCAAGUGAAUAAACUCCUGCUCUUUGCUCCCUCUUUGUUUCUAACUUUCCUUUUGUGAUAAGAGAGAAGAUGUUAGUUGAGA
rnacentral:misc_RNA from 1 species